rnacentral:misc_RNA from 1 species
GAUGAAGAACGCAGCGAAACGCGAUAGUUAAUGUGAAUUGCAGAAUUCAGUGAAUCAUCGAGUCUUUGAACGCACAUUGCGCCCAUCGGUAUUCCUUUGGGCAUGUCUGUUUGAGCGUCAUUACAACCCUCAGCUAACGCUGGUUAUGAAUCUGAACGGGUGAAACCGCGCAGGUUUUAAAGUUGUAAGCUCUGCUGGCCGCUCCGCCUAACCAGAACAUAGUAAAACACUACUUGUUAGGGUGAUGCUCAACGGUACGGCCUGAACAAAACCUACCCAUUUCUAAGGUUUGACCUCAGAUCAGACAAGGAUACCCGCUGAACUUAAGCAUAUCAAUAAGCGGAGGA